CAGUCGCCGCGGGAAUACGAAGGGGGCUAGCGUUGUUCGGAAUCACUGGGCGUAAAGAGCACGUAGGCGGAUCUUUAAGUCAGAGGUGAAAUCCCGAGGCUCAACCUCGGAACUGCCUUUGAUACUGGGGAUCUCGAGUCCGGGAGAGGUGAGUGGAACUGCGAGUGUAGAGGUGAAAUUCGUAGAUAUUCGCAAGAACACCAGUGGCGAAGGCGGCUCACUGGCCCGGAACUGACGCUGAGGUGCGAAAGCGUGGGGAGCAAACAGGAUUAGAUACCCCGGUAGUCCCUGUCUCUUAUAC
rnacentral:rRNA from 1 species